rnacentral:pre_miRNA from 1 species
UAAAACAGUUUCCCGUCCAUCUUAUAUAAAAUUUUUUUAUAAUUCGUAUUUUCAUUAUUGUUAGAUGAUAAAACAUGAUUAAUAUUUUAUGCGUAACUUGUCUUUUUAAUUUUUUUUUUAUAAUUUUUUCAAAUAAGACGGAAGGUCAAACGUUGGGCAAGAAAAUCAGGG